rnacentral:rRNA from 1 species
UACAGGGGGGGCAAGCGUUGUUCGGAAUUACUGGGCGUAAAGGGUUCGUAGGUGGCCACUUAAGUCAGACGUGAAAUCCCUCAGCUUAACUGGGGAACUGCGUCUGAUACUGAGUGGCUUGAGUGCAGGAGAGGGAUGCGGAAUUCCAGGUGUAGCGGUGAAAUGCGCAGAUAUCAGGAGGAACACCAAUGGCGAAGGCAGCACUCUGGGACGUGACUGACGCUGAGACGCGAAAGCGUGGGGAGCAAACAGG